AAGAAGAAGAAGAAGAAGAAGAAGAAGAAGAAGAAGAAGAAGAAGAAGAAGAAGAAGAAGAAGAAGAAGAAGAUGAAGAAGAAGAAGAAGAAGAAGAAGAAGAAGAAGAAGAAGAAGAAGAAGAAGAAGAAAAAGAAGAAGAAGAAGAAGAAGUAGAAGAAGGUAUUCAAGAAGUGAGACAGGUGUGAAACGUAAUUAGGUGGACAACAAACAGGUGUAUUGAGGCUUAAUUUGAUUGCCGUGAAGGAGGAGGAGGAGGAGGAGGAGGAGGAGGAGGCGUACGACGACGAGGAGGACGAGGAGGACGAAAAGAAGGAAGAGGAGGAUGAGGAAGAGAAAGACGAUGAGUAAAUGAAGAGAAAACGAAAUAACCUAGGAUAGACGUAACAUGGAAGCUAAUGGGGAGGAGGAGGAGGAGGAGGAGGGGGAGGACGAGGAGGAAGGAGAAAGCUGUGUAAUGGAGGGAAAGUAUAAAAAUAAUAACGUGUGUAUUAGGGCUCGGGGCAAGGACGUGAGCGGGAAAAAAUACGUGCAUGGAAAUAAAUAUAGAUCACGAAUAGCAAGAAAUUUUAAAAGAAAGAAAGAAAGCUUGAGGGAUAUACGUGAAGGUUCAGAGGACUUUCAACGCUCACCAAUUUCGGCGUGAGAAGUGUCUUGAUAUAAUUUAUGGCCCACGAUAGAGGAAAUACACCAAGAGAAAGUAAGGCUGUACCAGUGUAGUACCAGUAAAUGCGAUGAAAGAGUGACGAUGCUUGUUAACUCCUGCACUUGGAAGUUGGACAGCAUAAAACGAUGAGCGGCGAUACUGGUAGGACAGCACGUAAGGAUGAAAGCACCGACACUGAUUAGCUCUUACAUUGAAAAGUUCGACGAUAAAAGUGUGACGAUACAGCUAAAUUCUUGCAUUAGGAAGUUGGAUAAAGAUGAAAGCAACGACACUGAUUAGGUUUUACAUUGGGAAAUUAGACGGCAUAAAAGGGUGAAAGAGUAACGAUUCAGGCUAACUCUUGCAUUAGGAAGAUGGACAGCAUAAAAAGUUGAAAGAGCGACGAUACUUGUUAACAGUUGCAUUACGAAAUUGAACAGCAUAUAUGUAUGAAAGAGUAACGACGUUCUGUUAGCUCUUGCAUUAGGAAGCUGGACAACCUAUAUGGAUGAAAGAAUGGCGAUAAUGUGUUAACUCUUGCAUCAGGAAGUUGGACAGAAUAGAAAUGAGCUACUACUACUACUACUACUACUACUACUACUACUGCUACUGCUACUACUACUACUAAUACCACCACCAUAUCACCACCACCCCUAACACCCGAUCUCUCUUCACAGAUGGCCACAUUAUCAUGCCUGGGGGUGGUGAACGGGGUGGUGGCGGUGUUUGUCAUCACCACCACCAUCACCACCACAACAACGGCGCAGUUCCAAUACGAGGUACUCCCCCCUGUUUACAAUGUAGAGAGUCCCUCCACUACACCCACCCCCCAGACCCCCUUCCCCCCACCAUCCCCUUCCUCCCCCUCCACCUCCACCUCCUCCUAUGCAUCCAUCUCCUCGUCAUCAUCUCCACCGCUUCCUCUUCCUUCUCCCUCCUCCACCACCUCUCAGAAGCUUUCCUCAUUCCCCUUAACCACAAAAUCAUCACCGCCUCCUCCUCCUCCUCCUCCAUCCCGCCCUGUUCUCCCUACUCCCAUCCCUCACCCCCCCUCCUCCUCAUCCUCAUCCUCCUCCUCCACUCCACCACAACCACCCCACCACCUAAAGUCCACCACCAAGCCCAAGAAACAAAGGCCUAUAAGCAAGUUUAGGCCUAAGAUAAGAAGCAAGUUGAGCCUUUCGCAACUACAGCACCACCGCCCCCCCAUCACCUCCACCUCCACCUCCACCACCACCGAGGAUAGACAGGCCCUGCCCCCCUCCUACGCCUUCCAGUACCAGGUGGAGGAGCAGGGCGGGCGCUACGGGCACGCGGAGGAGUUCGAUGGGCGGGCGGCGUCGGGCUCCUUCUCCCUUCUGCGACCCGACGCCCACCACAACUUCUCCUACGUGGCGGGCUGACUCGACGACCUUCACUUGGACCCACCUGAGACAACUUCACCUGGCCAUACCUGAUGACAUCUAAACUUCACGUUACUUCACCUGAGGUCAUAUGAAAGCACAAGUUCACCUGACAACGCCUGGGAACAACUAACAACCUGAUGACAACUAAACCACCUAAAUUCACCUGAAGACACCUGGCGACACUUCACUUCACCUGGCCACAUCUGAGACUACUUAACUUAUCCUGGUUUCACUUGAGGACACUUAACCUGACCGCAACUGGGACACGUAACUGCAUAUGGCUUCAAAUGAGGUCACCUAACUUCACAUGACCUCAUCUGGGGACACUUAACCACUUAAAGGCUCCUAACUUCACCUGACCACGCUUGAGGACACCUAACUUCACCUGACCACACCUGACGACACCUAACUUCACCUGGUCACAACUGACGACACCCAACUUCACCUGGCCGCAACUGAAGACACCUAACUUCACCUGGCCACACCUGAGGACACUUAACUUCACCUGGCUUCACCUUACUUCACCUGGGACGACCUAACUUCACCUGGCUUCACCUUACUUCACCUGGGACGACCUAACUUCACCUGGCUAAACCUGAGGACCCUUAAACAACACCUGAUGACACCGAAUCUUACCUGACCAUACCUGAUGACACCCAACUUCACCUGGCCACACCUGAGGCCACUUAACUUCACCAGAGCUAACCAAACAUCGCCUGAGGACACUUGGAGGCACCUAAUGUUACCUUUAUGGCCUGAUGACUCACACAACUUCACCUGACCACACCUUAGGGACAUCAAACUUCCCCUAACUUCACGUGUGGCCGAAAACUCACUUAACUUUACCGGGCCGCACCUUAAGGACACUAAACUUCACCCGGGGUCAUCUAAUAACCAAACUUCACCUACGAGGCCGGAUGAAUCACCUAACGUUACCUGGCGACAUCCGAUGACACCAAACUUCGCCUGAUCUAACCAAACUUCCGCUGAGGAUGUAUGGAAUCACCUAGUCACCUAACUUCACCUACCUGUCCGGCUGACUUCACCUAGAUAAUUUCACCAGGGACCUGAGGACACAAACUUCACCUGACUCACCUAACUUCACCUGAGGAUAUCAAACUUCGCCUACACUCAUCUGGAAUCACCUUCAGUUCCCUAACUUCACUUAAAGGGCUACAUGGCUCACCUAACUUCACCUAGGGACAUCAAACUUCACCUGUCUCAUCAACCAAUACCUAGAGAUAUCCCUAACUUCAUCUGAAUGGCUAGAUGGCUCACCUAACUUCAAAGGGGGAUAUAGACCUCCACCUGCCCUCAUCAAACCUUACAUGGAAAAGCAUGGAAUCACUUUGUCCCUUAGCUUAACCUGCAUGGCCGGAUAACUUCAUCAAACUGCAACACUUGUACUCCACUUGGCAUCAAUUAACAUCACAGCUUUACACGACGUCAAAUAACUUCAUAUAGUCAUCUCGGCCUAUUAAAUUUUACACUUAACUAACUUCAUAUCCCCUCACCAGAAGUCACACUGGAGUUACUGUGCCUGACCUAACUUCCUCUAACUUCACUCAACUUCACCUGAACGUCCCCAACGCUCACCUGGGCGAGAUCAUCGUCAACAAGGCGAACCAAACCUCACCUGGGUGCCGCCUUAAUAACCUGGAUCUUACAUGGAAUUGGUCUAAUUUAACUUGGAUACACCUGAGACACAACAACCAGAAGAGACGCCCACCUACCUCCUCUGAGCUCGUUAAUUAUCCUGUUCGUCUUUGUUUGUUUACUUGUUAUGUUUUCGUAAGAUUUUUUUGUUAUAAUAAAGACAGGAAAAAUUA